GACGAACGCUGGCGGCGUGCUUAACAUAUGCAAGUCGAGCGGUAAGGCCCUUUCGGGGGUACACGAGCGGCGAACGGGUGAGUAACACGUGGGUGACCUGCCCUCAGCUCUGGGAUAAGCCUGGGAAACCGGGUCUAAUACCGGAUAUGACUCCAUGACGCAUGUUGUGGGGUGGAAAGCCUUGUGCGGCUGAGGAUGGGCCCGCGGCCUAUCAGCUUGUUGGUGGGGUGAUGGCCUACCAAGGCGACGACGGGUAGCCGGCCUGAGAGGGCGACCGGCCACACUGGGACUGAGACACGGCCCAGACUCCUACGGGAGGCAGCAGUGGGGAAUCUUGCGCAAUGGGCGAAAGCCUGACGCAGCGACGCCGCGUGAGGGAUGACGGCCUCGG
rnacentral:rRNA from 1 species